rnacentral:miRNA from 1 species
UGCAUAUUUUGGUAAGAAGAUGUUAACAAAAGCUGUUCGUCUUGAUGAGGGCUAUAACUUUGCUUAAUAUCGUCUUACCAAAUUGUGCAUAUUCAAGGAGAUAGGUCUGCGCAUGCGCAGAAUGUAACUGCUUACGCUUGCAUAUUAUGGUAAGAGGAUAUUAACAAAAGUUGUUCGUCUUGAUGAGGGCUACAACUUUGCUUAAUAUCCUCUUAACAAAUUAUGCA